GGUUUCCGCCCCUUAGUGCUGCAGCUAACGCAUUAAGCACUCCGCCUGGGGAGUACGACCGCAAGGUUGAAACUCAAAGGAAUUGACGGGGGCCCGCACAAGCGGUGGAGCAUGUGGUUUAAUUCGAAGCAACGCGAAGAACCUUACCAGGUCUUGACAUCCUUUGACCACUCUGGAGACAGAGCUUUCCCUUCGGGGACAAAGUGACAGGUGGUGCAUGGUUGUCGUCAGCUCGUGUCGUGAGAUGUUGGGUUAAGUCCCGCAACGAGCGCAACCCUUGAUUUUAGUUGCCAGCAUUUAGUUGGGCACUCUAAAGUGACUGCCGGUGCAAGCCGGAGGAAGGUGGGGAUGACGUCAAAUCAUCAUGCCCCUUAUGACCUGGGCUACACACGUGCUACAAUGGAUAGUACAAAGGGUCGCGAAGCCGCGAGGUGGAGCUAAUCCCAUAAAACUAUUCUCAGUUCGGAUUGUAGGCUGCAACUCGCCUACAUGAAGCCGGAAUCGCUAGUAAUCGUGGAUCAGCAUGCCACGGUGAAUACGUUCCCGGGCCUUGUACACACCGCCCGUCACACCACGAGAGUUUGUAACACCCGAAGUCGGUAGGGUAACCUUUAUGGAGCCAGCCGCCGAAGGUGGGACAGAUAAUUGGGGUGAAGUCGUAACAAGGUAGCCGUAUCGGAAGGUGCGGCUGGAUCACCUCCUUUCUAAGGAA
rnacentral:rRNA from 1 species